UCAAACUUGGUCAUUUAGAGGAAGUAAAAGUCGUAACAAGGUUUCCGUAGGUGAACCUGCGGAAGGAUCAUUAAAAAGAUUUGGCUUUAUAUUAUUGAAGCUAAUUAUCUGAACUUGUGGUAACAAUGAACUAUUUGAAUUGGGUUUAAUAAUGGUGCUUUUAAUUUAAAGGUAUCGGCCCAAAACAAUUUAUAAACGCUUCUUUUAUUUGACUGAAUUAUCAAGUAAAUAAUCCAAUACGGAUUAAAAAAGUUUUAAAUAACUUUCAACAACGGAUCUCUUGGUUCUCGCAUCGAUGAAGAACGCAGC
rnacentral:misc_RNA from 1 species